UAGGGAAUAUUGGUCAAUGGAGGCAACUCUGAACCAGCCAUGCCGCGUGCAGGAAGAAGGUCCUCUGGAUUGUAAACUGCUUUUGUAAGGGACGAAAAAGGCGAUGCGUCGCAAAUUGACGGUACUUUACGAAUAAGCCACGGCUAACUACGUGCCAGCAGCCGCGGUAAUACGUAGGUGGCGAGCGUUAUCCGGAUUUAUUGGGUUUAAAGGGAGCGUAGGCGGCUUAAUAAGUCAGUGGUGAAAGGUAGCAGCUUAACUGUUUUACAUGCCAUUGAUACUGUUGAGCUUGAGUUGUUAGAAGGCAGAUAGAAUUUCUGAUGUAGCGGUGAAAUGCUUAGAUAUCAGGAGGAAUACCGAUUGCGAAGGCAGUCUGCUGCAUACAUACUGACGCUGAGGC
rnacentral:rRNA from 1 species